rfam:Neotoma lepida isolate 417 scaffold_113377, whole genome shotgun sequence.
CCAAAGGCUCUUUUCAGAGCCACUCACCCUUUCUUCAAAAGAACUG